UACGUAGGUGGCAAGCGUUGUUCGGAAUUAUUGGGCGUAAAGCGCGCGUAGGCGGUGAUCUUUGUCAGAGGUGAAAGCCCGGGGCUCAACUCCGGAAUUGCCUUUGAAACGGGAUUGCUUGAGUCCGAGAGAGGAUGGCGGAAUUCCUAGUGUAGAGGUGAAAUUCGUAGAUAUUAGGAAGAACACCGGUGGCGAAGGCGGCCAUCUGGCUCGGUACUGACGCUCAGGCGCGAAAGCGUGGGGAGCAAACAGG
rnacentral:rRNA from 1 species